ensembl:lncRNA
GGUAGACAGAGGAUUUCUCCCUGUUGAAUUGUUCAGCCAUGAACAUCAGUGUUUCUAAUGUCUUGGGACCAGUGCUAUUCAACAUCUUCAUCGCUGACACAGACGAUGGCAUCGAGUGCAUCCUCAGCAAGUUUGCAGAUGGACCUGGACAGGCUGGAGAACUGGGCCCAUGUGAAACUAAUGAAGUUCAACAAGGCCAAGUGCAAGGUGCUGUUCUUGGGCUGGGGCAAUUCCAGGUAUUUCUACAAACUGUGGGAAGAUCUCCUUGAGAGCAGUCCUGCGGAAAAGGACUUGUGGGUCCUGGUGGACAAGAAGCUGGAUAUGAGCCAGCAGGGUGUGCUUGCAGCCCGGAAGGCCAACUGUGUUCUCGGCUGCAUUGAAAAAGGGGUGGCCAGCAGGGAUAGGGAGGUGAUUAUCCCCCUCUACUCAGCUCUUGUGAGGCCCCAUCUGGAGUACUGCGUCCAGGCCUGGGGCCCCCAGCCCAAGAAAGAUGUGGAACUCUUGGAAUGGCUCCAGAGGAUGGCCUCUAAGAUGAUCAAAGGGCUGGAGCACCUCUCCUGUGAGGAAAGGUUGAGGGAACAGGGCUUGUUUAGCUUGGAGAAGAGAAGGCUCCAGAAUGACCUCACUGUGGCUUUCCAAUAUUUGAAGGGAGUGUGUAAACAGAAAGGGGAGCGACUGUUUAUGAGUUGAUACUGAUAGGACAAGGGGGAACGGUUUUAAAACUGAGACAGGGGAGGUAAAGGUUAGAUAUUAGAAGGAAGUUUUUCACACAGAGGGUGGUGUCACACUGGAACACGUUGCCCAAGGAGGUUGUCAAUGCCCCAUCCCUGGAGGCAUUCAAGGCCAGGCUGGGUGUGGCUCUAGGCAGCAUGGUCUAGUGGCUGGCAACUUUAAAAUAUGAUGUAGAGUGGCUUGGCAGCCACAUUAACCUAUUCCUUCAGGACCCGGGGAUGCAUGUCAUCUUUCCCCAUACACUUGUAUAAAUUUGGUCUCAUAAGCUGGUCUUGAACUUUCUCUUUGCUUACAGUGGGAUAGAUUUUGCUCCUCCACCUCCUGCCAAAGGGUUCAGGUACAUGAGAGAUGUGGGAAGCCUGAGUGCCAGUGAAGACUGAAGCAGAGAAGUUAUUGAGUACCUCAGCCUUCUCUAUAUUCACUAUUGACUGUUCUUCCUUCUCAGUUAUCAGAGGAGCUGUACUCUCCAUUGCCUUUCUUUUUUGACCAAUGUACUUGUAGAAUCCCUUCCUCUUAUUUUUCACCUCUCUCACCAAGCACAGUUCCAUUUGUUCACCGGCUCUCUUGAUCCUAUCACCACACAUCUGGGAUGCAUCCCUGUUGUAUUCCCAGGCCACACAACUCUGCUUCCAUUGCCUAUACUUUUCCUUCUUAUCUCUCAGUUUGACCAGCAGGUCCCAGCUCUGCCAUGCUGGUUUCCUGUUUCCUCUUCUUGAUUUCGCUCACGGCAGUAUGGAGAACUCUUGUGCUCCCAGUAAGGCAUCCUUAAAGAACUGCUAGCUCUGCUAUGUUCCUUUGUCCCUAAGGACAGCUUCCCAUGGGGAUCUCAUCCAGUUGUUCUUCAAACAGCCGGAAGUUCACUCUCCCAAAGUUCAGAAUUCUGACUUUGCUCUUAGUCAGACCCACAUACCUCAAGGUUGCAAUCUCAACCAGGGUGUGGUUGCUACAGACCAGACUGCCUUUUAAUGAGUUCAUCUGCAUUGGUGAGUACUACGUCCAGUAACACGUUUGCUCUGGUCAGUUUUUUUAAUACAUGGACCAGGAAGUUAUCCUCAAUGUACACCCAGGAGUCUCCUGGUUUGCUUGCAGCCUACUAUGUUGCUUUCCCAGCAGGCACCUGAAUGGUUGAAAUCCUCCAUUACAAUGAGAGUCUGCGAGCAUAAUGCUUCCUAUAGUUGAAGCAAGAUAGCCUUAUCAAUAUGAUCUCCUUGAUCAGGCAGACUGUAGUAGACCUUGACCACAAAUGUCCUUUGUAGUCCCAAAUUUUUACCCACAAGCUUUCAACAUAUUCAAGCCUGUUUCAGCAUAUCACUUCCUGGAGACGCAAUAUACAGUCAAUCCAAUCUAGUGAUAUCUAGUCACAUAUUUAGUUCUGGGCAGUGUCUCGUUGUGGAUCCUGUCCUCUGGGGAUUGCUAUGUGGUUAAAAGGUACAUACAUGACAAGUAGAAUUUAUUUGAUCUUUAAAUCCAAAGUAGUUACCAUAGAUAUAAUCUUGAGUUUGCACUUUAAGGCUCAGCAGUUAUGUGCAGCGUACAGAAACACUCGACAACAUCAGCUAUGUUUUUGCUUUUGUGUGAUCAUUGUGUGCCUUUAUACAGCUUCCAUUUUAUGUACCCUUGACAUACGAAUGUUGAAGUGAUUGUGGCCUUUCUUUCCAAAUUACUACAGGGAUCAUUAUGCAUUCAAUGUGUGGAAAUUGCUUUCAGCAUAGGAGAUCUUAGUACAUGAUAAGCACAUAUUUUAAUGCCUAAAUUGUAUUCUUGAUCCUCUAUAUUCAUAAUACAUCAUAGAUUACACUACUCUGUCUUCCACAUAAGCUGUUUUCAACUGUUUCCAAUGACUAGAUAAAAUGCUAUCUGAAUAUAAUGAUAGUAUUAAGUUCAUUCUUUUGAUCUUUAAUAUUCACUGUCUUUGUCCCUAUGGUUAGUAAAAUAUCAGCCACAGUAAAAUAUAUUGAUGGGUGGUCAUGUAACCAGAAAUUCACUGGGAGUCUUGAAUACUAGGAAGUAUCACCCAUUUUCUUUUGAAAUAAUUGUUUAACAACUAUGUCAGGGUAAAACUAGAUAAGAUAAUCUGCUUGUAUUCAAAAAAGAUUCCAAAAUUGUACUGGGGGGGCUUUUAAUACAACUGUGGUUAGUUUAAGUUUUAUUCAUUGUUUCAAUGUAUGUAUAUCAAGUAUCUCUAUCCUUAUUCUGUCCUUUGGGGGGAUACUGAAAUAUCCUUUGCUGUAAUACUAAGAUAUGGAGCAGAUAGGCUGUAAGGCUGUCAGUCCAUAAGUCUGUUGUGCUAGCAUUUCAAAUCUUCUGUCCAUUUAAUUCUGAAGUAAAUUUAUACCACAUAUAAUCUAUUCAUUUGGCCAAGUAUGAUUGCUUUUUUUUUAGCAUGGGAUCAUAAUUUGCUUGACUUCACAUUGUGUCCUGAAGUAACUUUCUAAUAAGAACUCACAAAUCAA